rnacentral:misc_RNA from 1 species
CUAAGGAAAAAAGUUAUCAUCUUCAGUUUUGAGAGACUUAAAAAAGUUUUUCGUUUUUUAAGAUUAAGGGCCUAUAGCUCAGUUGGUUAGAGCACACGCCUGAUAAGCGUGAGGUCGGUGGUUCAAGUCCAUUUAGGCCCACCAAAAUAGGUCACAU